rnacentral:lncRNA from 1 species
UGGCCAAUCAGAGGCUGUUUCUGGGCAGAUUCAUCAGCUGGAGGUUUGUGAAAGGCUGUUUUAGAGCUGAACCGUCUUCUCUGCCUCUAAAAGAAAGAUACACUUGUCUUACAGCAGCAAAGGAGUCACCUAACUGAACUUUGGAAGAUUGAAGACGAGUCGUGCUGCUGCAUUCUGAAUUAGUUGCCGGGGUUUGGUAGCUCGCAGCGGAAGACCAGCCAGAAGAGUUGCAACUUGUGUACCGUGCAGUUAUGCAGCUAAUUUUGAUGUUCGUGAAGCAACUGAGAGACACUGAAAGACAGCAGAAGCAAACAAGACCCUCAGGGCCCUCUCCCUCCCUGAUGGUUGAUCUGUCCUACCAGAAGAAGAAGCCCUGGUUCCCUUUGUCUCCCUUUUACCCCGCUGACCCUCUACGCAGCAGAGCUAAAAGGAAGUUGCUGCUCUGUUCUAAGGGCAGAAGCAAGAGAAAUGACAGCAUGGAUGGACCUCUUAACUUCAGGAUAACUUCAGAAGGUCAGGAUAACUGCUCUUUCACAAAAUACUCUGCCAUGGCAGCUUAUAACAAAUGAUCCUUUAAUUCAAUUUAUUCAUAUAGCACUUUAACAACAAAUGUCACAAAGCAGCUUUAAAGAGAAAAAAGACUAAGUUAAUAACAAGUUUUUAAGUACUUAGUUGGCUCCGCUUCUGCAUAUGUGCACCACCAGUUGAAAACUUAACCACUGAUUUACAUACAGUUAAGGUCAAAAACAUACAGUUUGAGGCCAACUAGGAGCUUUUGACUAUUCCCCUGAAAUAGUGGAAUUUUUUUGCAAUAAACAUAAAAUAGCAUAUAGUAAAUUACUAAUC